UUGAACUGUUGAACCCGGUUUCGCGCCACUAUUCCGCAGUUUGAGCUGCGCGCUGCUCUCCUGCUUCAGUGACUCACGAAACGCCACAGAUUGAACAACAGCCUCCUGACAUGACAGCUCUUCUUGAGACAUUGUCAUCCAAUUUGGAUGGAACAACUUCGUGACCUUAAUGACACCCAGCAACACGAGACACACAAGCACCACAGGGGAGGAUCUGCAGCAAAGGGCCCACCGGAAAUCAAACCUUGGCCGCUAUGAUGACGACAACAUGGGGCACUUGAGUGUGAAUCUAGCCUUUUCAUUUUGAUUUACAACCUUGGCAUUGAAAAGAGCAAAAGUUGAUGAUUUUGGUUUUACUGAAGAGGAUGUACGUCUUCCCCUUGUCCUUUAUCUCCUUACUCUUUCUUUUUAGGUGUGACUACGACUACCAGCAUGAACCUCAACACCUUCUUUGCUGUUCCACUAGUGUGACCCAUGAUCGGAUACAAGUUGUCAAGGAUAAACGGUGAGAGAAUCAUGUCAGCCCACAGACAUCCGAUUGACCUGUGAGUCUUCAAGCAGUAAUGAUGACUACGCCUGCCUUAAGUUCCAGUUUCCUGAACAUCAUGGCAUGUCUGCAGGAGAUUCGGUCCCCACCUGUCUUCAGUCUGGACCUAAUGACUCAGACACCAGUCUUGUCGAGGCUAAAUCGAGAGGAUCACCUGAUGUCAACAUACGAGUUUUCAAGAAGAACUUCCUGAACUUUGUGUCCGUGUGAGACUCUACCAUGCUGGGUGCCCUCUUCAGUCAAGUCUGGACACAGCGACUCAUUGCUCUUCAUCAACUCUGGGCAAGUGGCUAAUCUUUUGCUUAUUCAUGGGAUAUCCUUCAUGUCCACAUCCUGUUUCUUCAAGAUCUCAACAAUGCUUUGUGAGUAAACAACACAUGUGAGUGGAUCAGUUCAACCUGUUUUUCACAGAAUGUUAGUUUCUUAAGGUUUUCAUCAAUGAUGGUUUGUAUCUUGUUUUCCAAAAGGUGUUAUUAAGAUAUUUCCAUUUGUAAUUUACAAGAAUCAAAUGUUGACUGUAAAAUCUAUGCCAACCUAUUGUUAUACACUGUACCAUGUUUUUGCAAAGGAAUUCUAGUGACUUUAGUUGCCAGCAACUUCCUUUGAACUUUGUAAUAAAAUACCAUAACUGUAAUAAAGUUUACAGUAUAACUGUUGUUUUUACAAAACUUACUGUCAUGUCUUGUAUGUUCACCGUUAAUUGGAACUUUUCAAUAAAGUACCAUAAUAUAUUA